rnacentral:tRNA from 1 species
GGUCCCUUAGUUCAAUGGAUAGAAUGUAAGAUUCCGGUUCUUAAGAUAGAGGUUCGACUCCUCUAGGGACUA